rnacentral:rRNA from 1 species
GAUGAACGCUGGCGGCGUGCUUAACACAUGCAAGUCGAACGAAGCACUUUAUUUGAUUUCCUUCGGGACUGAUUAUUUUGUGACUGAGUGGCGGACGGGUGAGUAACGCGUGGGUAACCUGCCUUGUACAGGGGGAUAACAGUUGGAAACGGCUGCUAAUACCGCAUAAGCGCACAGCAUCGCAUGAUGCAGUGUGAAAAACUCCGGUGGUAUAAGAUGGACCCGCGUUGGAUUAGCUAGUUGGUGAGGUAACGGCCCACCAAGGCGACGAUCCAUAGCCGAACGGAGAGGGUGACAGGCCACAUUGGGACUGAGACACGGCCCAAACUCCUACGGGAGGCAGCAGUGGGGAAUAUUGCACAAUGGGCGAAAGCCUGAUGCAGCGACGCCGCGUGAGCGAAGAAGUAUUUCGGUAUGUAAAGCUCUAUCAGCAGGGAAGAUAAUGACGGUACCUGACUAAGAAGCACCGGCUAAAUACGUG